rnacentral:rRNA from 1 species
AGUGAACGCUGGCGGUAGGCCUAACACAUGCAAGUCGAACGGCAGCACAGUAAGAGCUUGCUCUUACGGGUGGCGAGUGGCGGACGGGUGAGGAAUACAUCGGAAUCUACUUUUUCGUGGGGGAUAACGUAGGGAAACUUACGCUAAUACCUCAUACGACCUACGGGUGAAAGCAGGGGAUCUUCGGACCUUGCGCGAUUGAAUGAGCCGAUGUCGGAUUAGCUAGUUGGCGGGGUAAAGGCCCACCAAGGCGACGAUCCGUAGCUGGUCUGAGAGGAUGAUCAGCCACACUGGAACUGAGACACGGUCCAGACUCCUACGGGAGGCAGCAGUGGGGAAUAUUGGACAAUGGGCGCAAGCCUGAUCCAGCCAUACCGCGUGGGUGAAGAAGGCCUUCGGGUUGUAAAGCCCUUUUGUUGGGGAAGAAAAGCAGCAGGUUAAUACCCCGCUGUUCUGACGGUACCCAAAGAAUAAGCACCGGCUAACUUCGUG